UACGUAGGGUGCGAGCGUUGUCCGGAAUUAUUGGGCGUAAAGAGCUCGUAGGCGGCCAGUUGCGUCCGCUGUGAAAUCCUGGGGCUUAACCCCGGGCGUGCAGUGGAUACGGGCUGGCUAGAGGCAGGCAGGGGAGACUGGAAUUCCUGGUGUAGCGGUGAAAUGCGCAGAUAUCAGGAGGAACACCGAUGGCGAAGGCAGGUCUCUGGGCAUUAACUGACGCUGAGGAGCGAAAGCAUGGGGAGCGAACAGG
rnacentral:rRNA from 1 species